CCGCGGUAAUACGAAGGGUGCAAGCGUUAAUCGGAAUUACUGGGCGUAAAGCGCGCGUAGGUGGUUCAGUAAGUUGAAUGUGAAAUCCCCGGGCUCAACCUGGGAACUGCAUCCAAAACUGCUGAACUAGAGUACGGUAGAGGGUAGUGGAAUUUCCUGUGUAGCGGUGAAAUGCGUAGAUAUAGGGAAGGAACACCAGUGGCGAAGGCGACUACC
rnacentral:rRNA from 1 species